AUCAGGAGGUUAGUGCAAUGGCAUAAGCUAGCUUGACUGCGAGCGUGACGGCGCGAGCAGGUGCGAAAGCAGGUCAUAGUGAUCCGGUGGUUCUGAAUGGAAGGGCCAUCGCUCAACGGAUAAAAGGUACUCCGGGGAUAACAGGCUGAUACCGCCCAAGAGUUCAUAUCGACGGCGGUGUUUGGCACCUCGAUGUCGGCUCAUCACAUCCUGGGGCUGAAGUAGGUCCCAAGGGUAUGGCUGUUCGCCAUUUAAAGUGGUACGCGAGCUGGGUUUAGAACGUCGUGAGACAGUUCGGUCCCUAUCUGCCGUGGGCGCUGGAGAAUUGAGGGGGGCUGCUCCUAGUACGAGAGGACCGGAGUGGACGCAUCACUGGUGUUCGGGUUGUCAUGCCAAUGGCACUGCCCGGUAGCUAAAUGCGGAAGAGAUAAGUGCUGAAAGCAUCUAAGCACGAAACUUGCCCCGAGAUGAGUUCUCCCUGAGACUUUAAGUCUCCUGAAGGAACGUUAAAGACGAUGACGUUGAUAGGCCGGGUGUGUAAGCGCAGCGAUGCGUUGAGCUAACCGGUACUAAUGAACCGUGAGGCUUAACCUU
rnacentral:ncRNA from 1 species